rnacentral:rRNA from 1 species
UACAGAGGUCCCAAGCGUUGUUCGGAUUCAUUGGGCGUAAAGGGUGCGUAGGUGGCGCUGUAAGUCGGGUGUGAAAUUUCGGAGCCUAACUCCGAAACUGCAUUCGAUACUGCGGUGCUCGAGGACUGGAGAGGAGACUGGAAUUCAUGGUGUAGCAGUGAAAUGCGUAGAGAUCAUGAGGAAGACCAGUGGCGAAGGCGGGUCUCUGGACAGUUCCUGACACUGAGGCACGAAGGCCAGGGGAGCAAACGGG